rnacentral:rRNA from 1 species
UACGUAGGCAGCGAGCGUUGUUCGGAAUUACUGGGCGUAAAGAGUGUGUAGGCGGUGCUCUAAGUUCGGUGUGAAAUCUCCUGCUUAACUGGGAGGGUGCGCCGGAAACUGGGGUGCUCGAGCGUGGGAGAGGAAAGCGGGAAUUCCUGGUGUAGCGGUGAAAUGCGUAGAUAUCAGGAGGAACACCUGUGGUGUAGACAGUUUUCUGGACCAUUGCUGACGCUUGAGACACGAAAGCGUGGGUAGCAAACAGGA